GAUACAAGGGUCAAAAGGUUUAAGCCCACAUGAGCUUGCUCAUAGGUGGGCGAAAAAACUUGGGACCCGACCCGAUAUGAGCAUAAAAGUGGGAUGUCAAUCCCAUGAUAUGCGAAUAUUGGGCAGGAUUGUGAGAGCACGUAGUGCGGAACAAUCCGUAGGUAG
rnacentral:sRNA from 1 species